GAUGAAGAACGCAGCGAAAUGCGAUAAGUAAUGUGAAUUGCAGAAUUCAGUGAAUCAUCGAAUCUUUGAACGCACAUUGCGCCCGCUAGUACUCUAGCGGGCAUGCCUGUUCGAGCGUCAUUUGUACCUUCAAGCUUUGCUUGGUGUUGGGUGUUUGUCCAUUCUCUUGCAGAGGGACUCGCCUUAAAGUAAUUGGCAGCCAGUGUUUUGGUUUUGAAGCGCAGCACAAGUCGCGAUUCAAAGCUAUACGCCCGCUUCCACAAGCCUUUUUCACUUUUGACCUCGGAUCAGGUAGGGAUACCCGCUGAACUUAAGCAUAUCAAUAAGCGGAGGA
rnacentral:misc_RNA from 1 species